UGCUGUCUUCUUUCUGCAAAGGGAUUUUCCUGAAUCUGUAAUCUGAACACUUUGACCUGUGAGGGUUUUUCCCCCAACUAGGAGCAAAUCUGUGAGGCUUGACCCUUUGUGUGCUGUGGAGCAGAGACAAUGCCCUUCUGUGAAUGUCUUCUCCUCUUGAGGACAGUAGUAAUUGGCGACAGGAAUGUUAAUCAUUUGGCAAGCGCUUCUUCAUGGCCUUGCUGCCCUUUGCCACUGCAGCCAGCUCCCCACUUGCCUCUACUCCCUCCUUGAGAAUGGAGCCGCCAUUUUGUGGCAGCUUUCUAGAGAAGUUUUUUUCAAGAGCACUUUGAGAGUUGACAGUCUGACUUAAACUGAGG
rnacentral:lncRNA from 1 species